ensembl:lncRNA
CAGGUGCAGCAUUUUUUAAAAGCAAAAUUUCUAAAAGAUCGGGGCCUACCGUAAUUCUUCAUAUUACAUUUGUUGAACAAGUUCCAUCCCAGUCGAGUGGAUUAUCUUGCCCCAUGCUUGGGGUGUAUGCACUCAACUUUGGAGAUGACUCUAAGUGGUGAAAUGCUGGGAGGUCAUAGCAUGUUGCUCCAGUAGCAAAGGCAGCGAUGGAACAGACCGCCAAUGGGAGCUCCUUGAGGAAGGACCUGGUUUUCCUUAUUCAACUUUCUGUGCUCAAUUCUAAUUAAAUGAAUUAUGGAGACUUCAUAAGCUUAAAGAAUAAACCAAAUGAACAAUGAUGAUACUCAUAAAGCAGAUUU